AAUUUAUACAAGGCGUGCUUGCUAUGUAAUGAAUCUGAUUUUUGUAUGUGAUUUGUGGAAUCAAUCCCAUUUCUUUGUAAUCACAUCUUGCAUAUUA
rnacentral:pre_miRNA from 1 species